rnacentral:rRNA from 1 species
CGUAUGGUGCAAGCGUUAUCCGGAUUUACUGGGUGUAAAGGGAGCGCAGGCGGAAGGCUAAGUCUGAUGUGAAAGCCCGGGGCUCAACUCCGGUACUGCAUUGGAAACUGGUCAUCUAGAGUGUCGGAGGGGUAAGUGGAAUUCCUAGUGUAGCGGUGAAAUGCGUAGAUAUUAGGAGGAACACCAGUGGCGAAGGCGGCUUACUGGACGAUAACUGACGCUGAGGCUCGAAAGCGUGGGGAGCAAACAGGAUU